UGCGGCGUGGCCUAAUACAUGCAAGUCGAACGCUUUGUGGUCCAACUGAUUUGAAGAGCUUGCUCAGAUAUGACGAUGGACAUUGCAAAGAGUGGCGAACGGGUGAGUAACACGUGGGAAACCUACCUCUUAGCAGGGGAUAACACUUGGAAACAAGUGCUAAUACCGUAUAACACUAAUAACCGCAUGGUUAUUAGUUAAAAGAUGGUCUUGCUAUCACUAAGAGAUGGUCCCGCGGUGUAUUAGCUAGUUGGUAAGGUAAUGGCUUACCAAGGCAAUGAUACAUAGCCGAGUUGAGAGACUGAUCGGCCACAAUGGGACUGAGACACGGCCCAUACUCCUACGGGAGGCAGCAGUAGGGAAUCUUCCACAAUGGACGAAAGUCUGAUGGAGCAACGCCGCGUGUGUGAUGAAGGGUUUCGGCUCGUAAAACACUGUUGUAAGAGAAGAAUGACAUUGAGAGUAACUGUUCAGUGUGUGACGGUAUCUUACCAGAAAGGAACGGCUAAAUACGUGCCAGCAGCCGCGGUAAUACGUAUGUUCCAAGCGUUAUCCGGAUUUAUUGGGCGUAAAGCGAGCGCAGACGGUUAUUUAAGUCCGAAGUGAAAGCCCACAGCUUAACUGUGGAAGUGCUUUGGAAACUGGAUAACUUGAGUGCAGUAGAAGGAGAGUGGAACUCCAUGUGUAGCGGUGAAAUGGCGUAGAUA
rnacentral:rRNA from 1 species